rnacentral:rRNA from 1 species
UACCAGCACCCCGAGUGGUCGGGACGAUUAUUGGGCCUAAAGCAUCCGUAGCCGGUCCUACAAGUCUUCCGUUAAAUCCACCUGCUCAACAGAUGGGCUGCGGAAGAUACUAUAGGGCUAGGAGGCGGGAGAGGCAAGCGGUACUCAGUGGGUAGGGGUAAAAUCCGUUGAUCCAUUGAAGACCACCAGUGGCGAAGGCGGCUUGCCAGAACGCGCUCGACGGUGAGGGAUGAAAGGCUGGGGGA